AGUAAUGCAUCAAAAGGAACAAAAAUUAUCACUAACUUUGUAUAUGACCAGAUAUACAGAAAGCAUGCUGAACAACAAGGUAGACAAGGUAUAUGUCUUCCUUUCUUGCACUUUGCCCUGUAAGAGGAUUGAUGAAAUCAUUUUAAUUUGCUUCCUUGUCUCCAUUAUCCUGUUUUGGUGGUGGUGGUGGUGGUGCCGUGCCGUGCUAAUUGAAAAAUAAAGCAUGCUUACUGGUGCAUUACAUAUGUAUCCAGAUCUGUGCUGAACACUCGUAAUAUUAGUUUAGCAUGUUUCUGCUCCUUAAAGAUGGAUGAAUGCUAGGUUACAUUUGUGUAGGGUUAGUGAAAGGAGUGAAACCAUUGGAAUGACAAGUGAUUUGUUCUCGAUGGGAGAUGAGUUCAUCACCUAUAAUCAAUGUUAGCUCAGGCAGGCUAUUUUAGUCAGUUUUGUUCUAAUGCAAAUAAUGCAUGAUAAAUCCAAUGACAAUUCCUUAUGAGUCCUAUGCAUUUUACAGUGACAAUUCUCCUUAUUUACAAUCUGCCAUCAAUGAUCCUGGCAAAGUUACUGGCCACCCUCUUGUCCAAUUGAACACAAAUUCUUGCUUGAUUGUGUGGACUGGACGAGGAACUAGCAGGGCAUGUGGAUGGAGCAAACCUUCCAAGAUGCUCGGUGUAGGUGCGGCUCUCCACCCUGUUUCGGCGGCUGCAGCGGCGACGGCGAGCGGCUCUCCUCCCUGGAGCCUCAGGUGGGGCGAC